rnacentral:rRNA from 1 species
UACGGAGGGUGCGAGCGUUGUCCGGAAUCACUGGGCGUAAAGGGCGCGUAGGCGGCUGGGGAAGUCGGCGGUGAAAGCCCGGGGCUCAACUCCGGAAUUGCCUUUAAGACUGCAUCGCUAGAAUUGUGGAGAGGUAAGUGGAAUUCCGAGUGUAGAGGUGAAAUUCGUAGAUAUUCGGAAGAACACCAGUGGCGAAGGCGACUUACUGGACACAUAUUGACGCUGAGGUGCGAAAAGCGUGGGGGAGCAAAACAGGG